AUUUUUGCUUUAGGAUGUGCCUACACGACGGGGAGGUAGUAGGAGAGGUAAUUGCUUAACUAGCCUAAGAUCCGAAGUUGUAUCUUAAAGGGUGAUCAACCACAUAGGCUCUGAAACAAUAGCCUAGUCUCCGGAAGGGCCCCAGCAGUGAGGAAUUUUGGUCAAUGGCCGAAAGGUCGAACCAGCUAAUUAGAAGGGAUCAACCUUACGAGGCGAAAGAGAGGAAAGGCAAAGCCACGUAAAUCGGUUGAAAGGAAUGAUAAGUCCCUAAAAAGAGAGGAUAAUGACGUUAUCUUUUACAUUUAGUCUCGGCCAAAUCUCGUGCCAGCAGCCGCGGUAAGACGAGGGAGGCUAGCGUUAUUAAUCAUAAAUAGGUUUAAAGGGUCCGUACAAAUUUAGGUUAAAGGGCGGCCACACAAGCAAUAAGAUAAAGAAG
rnacentral:ncRNA from 1 species